GGAGUCUGGGCCGUGUCUCAGUCCCAAUGUGGCCGUUCAACCUCUCAGUCCGGCUACUGAUCGUCGGCUUGGUGAGCCGUUACCUCACCAACUACCUAAUCAGACGCGAGCCCAUCUCUGAGUGAUAAAUCUUUGAUACAUCAAUCAUGCGGUCAAUGUAUGUUAUGAGGUAUUACCAUCCGUUUCCAGAAGCUAUCCCUCUCUCAGAGGCAGGUUGCUCACGUGUUACUCACCCGUCCGCCACUAAGAAUAUUAAGCAAGCUCAAUAUUCUCCGUUCGACUUGCAUGUGUUAGGCGUGCCGCCAGCGUUCGUCCUGAGCCACGGAGUCAAACUACU
rnacentral:rRNA from 1 species